GUACGUAUAGGUUAAACAAACCCUUAGUCUGUGACACUAAAAAAAGCGGAUAACAACCGCUUACGCACCC
rnacentral:tRNA from 1 species